rnacentral:rRNA from 1 species
GAGUUUGAUCUUGGCUCAGAACGAACGCUGGCGGCAUGCCUAACACAUGCAAGUCGAACGAGACCUUCGGGUCUAGUGGCGCACGGGUGCGUAACGCGUGGGAAUCUGCCCUUGGGUUCGGAAUAACAGUUAGAAAUGACUGCUAAUACCGGAUGAUGACUUCGGUCCAAAGAUUUAUCGCCCAGGGAUGAGCCCGCGUAGGAUUAGCUUGUUGGUGAGGUAAAAGCUCACCAAGGCGACGAUCCUUAGCUGGUCUGAGAGGAUGAUCAGCCACACUGGGACUGAGACACGGCCCAGACUCCUACGGGAGGCAGCAGUGGGAAUAUUGGACAAUGGGCGAAAGCCUGAUCCAGCAAUGCCGCGUGAGUGAUGAAGGCCUUAGGGUUGUAAAGCUCUUUUACCCGGGAUGAUAAUGACAGUACCGGGAGAAUAAGCCCCGGCUAACUCCGUGCCAGCAGCCGCCGU